rnacentral:rRNA from 1 species
UACAGCAUACCAUCCUGAACGCACCUGAUCUUGUCUGAUCUCGGAAGCUAAGCAGGGUCAAACCUGGUUAGUACUUGGAUGAGAGGAAACAUUGUCCCUACAGUAU